GGGUAUAAAAGGCUGGGCUAAAGAACAUGAAGGGUGGACACUUGAAGCCUUCUGUUGAGGGAAACCUUCACUGGGCUGCAGGCAAAACCUGAGCAAAGUCUGGGCUGUCAGAGCACUUCUUGCACAUCACUCAGUCUCCUGUGAAGUCAAGAUGCUGAUAUUUACCUAUGAAAUCUGUAAAGCACUUGGAGAGUCUCAGCUGUAAAGAGAUGUGGGGGGAUGGAUCUCUGCUAAGAGCUCUGAGUGAGAGCUCUCCCCCUCCAACAGGCAGACAAGCCUUGUAAGACCCCAUGGGGCAGCAGAAUAUCCACACCAUCACAGCUGCUUCAAAGUGCAUCUUGGAAACCAUGGGGAGCCCCCAACAGCAAAGUAUCUUCUGAGAUCCCCUAAAUACUUUUGAGACCCUGAGACACACCAUUCAAGCUGGCACAGGACCCUGCUGUCCUUUCCUUAGGGCCACCCCCUUUCCCAGCUUGGCUCCACUGCUCCAGCUGCAAUUAAUUGGCAUAUCUCCCACUGAUUCCUGAUUAGCUGCUUUUGAUUAGGGCUUAAUGACUUCACUGGUCCCUUAAUUCACAGGAAUGAGCCUGGAAAUGCCUGAGGACAGCUCAAACACGAUCACAGUUUCUCCCACCUUGGAGCCACCACUUAAGCUCUGUACACAUGAGCCCUGCUCCUCUGAGCCUGCAGGACCUGCCAUGCCCAGCCCUGCUCCUCCUCCCUGUGCUGGGAGGCAAACCACAGCCAGAGCUGCCAGACUCUGCCUCCUGAGGGAGGAGGAUACAGCUGGAGUGAAAAAUGGAUGUUUCAAAGCCACCUCAGCACUCAGAUAUAAAAUUCAGGGCUUUGUGUGUGGCUUGGCCACAGAGUUAAAGAAUGGUUGGAGAAGUCAGGCUGGAGUCAGGACCAGGGACCUGUGGGUGACUAUCCUAAUGUGUAAAGGGACGUUCAGGGAUGGCCAAGACAGACCUAUGCUGGACUUUGGACCUUUGAGGAGGGCAAGCACUGGUGUGAUGUGGUGGAGAAGAGCAGUGAGCUGCCCUGUGGAGCUGGACAUCUCCAGCUGCUGUGUCCUGCUCCAGCAUUUAGGGCCAGAAUAAAAUUCUCGAUAUCUGCAUAGUCCUGCACAGCAAGUUUGCCUUGCUCCCUCUCCCUGACUCUAUCUUCCCUCUCUCUUUUCUCCUCCAUCCCCAAACUCUCAUUCAGUGCCU